rnacentral:rRNA from 1 species
AACCUCCGCAAUGUGAGAAAUCGCGACGGGGGGAUCCCAAGUGCCAUUCUUAACGGGAUGGCUUUUCAUUAGUGUAAAGAGCUUUUGGAAUAAGAGCUGGGCAAGACCGGUGCCAGCCGCCGCGGUAACACCGGCAGCUCUAGUGGUAACAAUUUUUAUUGGGCCUAAAGCGUCCGUAGCCGGUUUAAUAAGUCUCUGGUGAAAUCCUGUAGCUUAACUGUGGGAAUUGCUGGAGAUACUAUUAGACUUGAGACCGGGAGAGGUUAGAGGUACUCCCAGGGUAGAGGUGAAAUUCUGUAAUCCUGGGAGGACCGCCUGUUGCGAAGGCGUCUAACUGGAACGGUUCUGACGGUGAGGGACGAAAGUUAGGGGCGCGAACCGGAUUAGAUACCCGGGUAGUCCUAACUGUAAACGAUGCGGACUUGGUGUUGGGGUGCUUUGAGCUGCUUCAGUGCCGAAGGGAAGCUGUUAAGUCCGCCGCCUGGGAAGUACGGUCGCAAGACUGAAACUUAAGGAAUU